UAUUUCAUAAACAAAAUAUUCAUAUGUUAAACCAUAGCACAAACAAGCUAAGCACUAUCCAUCAAAUCCUUUUGCUUGGUUUUCUUAAUGCAGAAUUCAGAAUUCAAGUUUUAAUUUGAAACAAAUCUUAAAAUGUUCAUUAUAAUGUGAUAAAAAUGCAACCUAAUCGCUGUAAACAGUUGGAUCAUAUAGUUCAAAGUGAAGAUUAAUUAAGCGUGACCAUAUACACAAUCAUACAAUAAUAAUACAAAUACGAUUUUAAUCAAAAAUAUAUAAUAUAUGAUGUAAUAUGGCAAGCCGCUUUACUAUUUAUUCAAACUUCAUAAUAUCUAAUAUACAGUCGUUUAUGAGGUAUCUAAAAAAUAUAUGAAACAUCAUAUAAAGAAGAUAUGAUAUCUAUUUAUCUUGAUAAUA
rnacentral:lncRNA from 1 species